rnacentral:lncRNA from 1 species
UUUUAGCAUAACCUCUAUGUAUCCAUACAUGAAACUACUUUCCAAAAUGUUGUUUAAAAAUAGCGAGGUUAGCUGAAGUAUGAAGACAGAUGACCAAGUUAACUCAGCUCUCUAAGUGAAGUUCCUCAUUCUGUGUGUGUGUUUGUUUCAGGCCUGUAUGAGAGAGAAGUGACCACAGCUGAGACUGGUCGGCUGUUUGGGCCUAGUUUGUGAUUUUCUCGGUGUGAGGAGGAGGAAAGAGCGGGACAUGCCCCUGAGAGAUCCCGCAGAACCACACAACACCCAAAGACCCCUAGAAUACAAAACUUAACUCAACUCAGACCAACUCAACUCAAACGCCUCCCUCCCUCACACUCAGCUCCUCGCGCUCUGUACAGACUGAGGCUGAUGAGAUAAGACGGUUUAAAUGAACGGGAUUAACGUGGAGGAAAGUUCAGAUAAAAUAAGUAGCUAGUUAUAUAUCAGAGACUGACAGACCGGCUCUCGGUGCGCGGCUCCCCCAGAGCUCUGCUCCUCCGCCGCCGCCGCUGGGUCCACCUCCUCCUCCUGCUGCUGCUGAAAGUUGCGACUGCGGCGCCGCUCCGCUCCAAACCGGCCGGAUUAAGAUAACGGAACCGGGAGGAAUCAGAAAAGCGGUGGCGACGGCUUGAGGCGGGCGGGUUCAGUGCGUUUCCCCGUUAAAGUGAUCCAGUGUCGGGGAGCUGCGCUCAGUUCAGCCCGGGCUGGCUGUUUUCUCCACACUGCCUCUUUUUGGGAAUUUUGAAAAGCUGAUUUAAGAGGAAGGGGAGGGGACCCGCGCGGGCGCGCGCCCUCUACAGCACAGCCUGCGAGAAUCAAGCGAGCUCUGCAGUCUUUGUUCAGAGCUGUGUUUAUCUGGGGCUCCUGGAAGCAAGCAGGCUUGUUCACUUUGCUCUAAAGAGCAGCUCUAGGAGCAGCUGUUGGAUCUCUGCCUAUCAGCAGCUGUGCAUCAGCAGGUGGGAGCUCAGGGGAGGAGUGUGUGCCAUGGAGAUGAACAGGUAGGAGUCGGUAAACUGAGAUAGGUCUACGAUAGCCUAUUAGUAAGUCAUUGUGCACUGAGAUUUAACUGUAGGCCUACUAUUCUAAUCUACUGUGAGAAAAAUCUGUGCUAUGCCUAAUUUAAACAUUCAGUUAUAGACUGGAGAAAAAAAUAGCAAUGAACUAUUAAGCCUAGCUCUAGACUACAUAUAAUUUUAGGUGGAAAAUAUCGAUUCAAAAUGCUGUAUUGUCCAGGAAUAUGCUCAGGAAUGUAUGGAAAACUGACCCUAAACUAACUAAUG